rnacentral:rRNA from 1 species
GUCCACGCCCUAAACGAUGGGUACUAAGUGUCGGCGGGUUACCGCCGGUGCCGCACCUAACGGAGUAAGUACCCCGCCUGGGGAGUACGGCCGCAAGGUUGAAACUCAAAGGAAUUGACGGGGGCCCGCACAAGCGGUGGUGCAUGUGGUUUAAUUCGACGCAACGCGAAAAACCUUACCCAGGCUUGACAUGCUAGUGGUAAGAACCGGAAACGGGGAUGACCCUGAAAGGGGAGCUAGCACAGGUGCUGCAUGGCUGUCGU